rnacentral:rRNA from 1 species
UACGUAGGCAGCAAGCGUUGUUCGGAGUUACUGGGCGUAAAGGGUGCGUAGGCGGUUUUCUAAGUCUGGUGUGAAAUCUCCCGGCUCAACUGGGAGGGUGCGCUAGAAACUGGGAGGCUAGAGUGUGGGAGAGGAGAGUGGAAUUCCUGGUGUAGCGGUGAAAUGCGUAGAUAUCAGGAGGAACACCGGUGGUGUAGACGGCUCUCUGGACCAUUACUGACGCUGAGGCACGAAAGUGUGGGUAGCAAACAGG